GAUGAACGCUGGCGGCGUGCCUAAUACAUGCAAGUCGAGCGAAAGGACGCGAAGCUUGCUUCUCUGAUGUUAGCGGCGGACGGGUGAGAAACACGUGGAUAACCUACCUAUAAGACUGGGAUAACUUCGGGAAACCGGCGCUAAUCCCGGAGAAUAUUUUGAACCGCAUGGGUCAAAAGUAAAAGACGGUGUUGCUGUCACUUAUAGAGGGAUCCGAGCUGCAUUAGCUAGUUGGUAAGGUAAAGGCUUACGAAGGCAACGAUGCAUAGGCGACCGCAGAGGCUGAUCGGCGACACUGGAACUGGGCCGCGGACCAUACGCCUGCGAGAGGCAGCAGUCGGGUAUCUGCCGCAAUAGGCGAGAACCUUACGGAGCAACCCCGCGUGUGUGGUGGAGGUCUCCGGAUCGUAAUACUCUGUUACUAGGGAUGAACAUAUUUGUCAGUAGCUGUGCACAUCGUGACGGUACCUGGUCAGAAAGCCCCGGCUAACUACGUG
rnacentral:rRNA from 1 species